UACGGAGGGAGCGAGCGUUAAUCGGAAUUACUGGGCGUAAAGCGCAUGCAGGUGGUUAAUUAAGUCAGAUGUGAAAGCCCGAGGCUUAACCUCGGAAGGUCAUUUGAAACUGGUUAACUAGAGUAUUGUAGAGGGGGGUAGAAUUCCAGGUGUAGCGGUGAAAUGCGUAGAGAUCUGGAGGAAUACCGGUGGCGAAGGCGGCCCCCUGGACAAAGACUGACGCUCAGGUGCGAAAGCGUGGGGAGCAAACAGG
rnacentral:rRNA from 1 species